rnacentral:rRNA from 1 species
UACGUAGGGUGCGAGCGUUGUCCGGAAUUAUUGGGCGUAAAGAGCUCGUAGGCGGCUUGUCACGUCGAUUGUGAAAGCCCGAGGCUUAACCUCGGGUCUGCAGUCGAUACGGGCUGGCUAGAGUGUGGUAGGGGAGAUCGGAAUUCCUGGUGUAGCGGUGAAAUGCGCAGAUAUCAGGAGGAACACCGGUGGCGAAGGCGGAUCUCUGGGCCAUUACUGACGCUGAGGAGCGAAAGCGUGGGGAGCGAACAGG